rnacentral:rRNA from 1 species
UGCUGAAUCAUUCGCUAAUGCGCGAAAGCGUGACGGUGCGACGCCGCGUGAAGGAUGAAGGUCUUCGGAUUGUAAACUUCUGUCAGUUACUCUAAAACCUCCAGGGUUAAUAGCCUUGGAGCUGAUUAGUAGCAAAGGAAGCACAGGCUAACCUCGUGCCAGCAGCCGCGGUAAUACGAGGUGUGCGAGCGUUGUUCGGAAUCACUGGGCAUAAAGAGUUCGUAGGUGGUUUUGUAAGUUGGUUGUGAAAUCCCCCGGCUCAACCGGGGAAUUGCUGCCACUACUGCAAGACUAGAGUGCGAAAGGGGCAGGUGGAAUUCCAGGUGUAGCGGUGGAAUGCGUAGAUAUCUGGGAGAACGCCAAAGGCGAAGGCAGCCUGCUGGGUCGCAACUGACACUGAGGAACGAAAGCUAGGGGAGCAAACAGG